rnacentral:rRNA from 1 species
UACGUAGGGUGCAAGCGUUAAUCGGAAUUACUGGGCGUAAAGCGUGCGCAGGCGGUUGUGCAAGACAGAUGUGAAAUCCCCGGGCUUAACCUGGGAACUGCAUUUGUGACUGCACGGCUAGAGUGUGUCAGAGGGGGGUAGAAUUCCACGUGUAGCAGUGAAAUGCGUAGAUAUCGGGAGGAACACCUGUGGCGAAGGCGGCCCCCUGGUUGGAUACUGACGCUGAGACGCGAAAGCGUGGGGAGCAAACAGG